GAUGAACGCUGGCGGCGUGCCUAAUACAUGCAAGUCGAGCGAACAGACGAGAAGCUUGCUUCUCUGACGUUAGCGGCGGACGGGUGAGUAACACGUGGAUAACCUACCUAUAAGACUGGGAUAACUUCGGGAAACCGGAGCUAAUACCGGAUAAUAUAUUGAACCGCAUGGUUCAAAAGUGAAAGACGGUCUUGCUGUCACUUAUAGAUGGAUCCGCGCUGCAUUAGCUAGUUGGUAAGGUAACGGCUUACCAAGGCAACGAUGCAUAGCCGACCUGAGAGGGUGAUCGGCCACACUGGAACUGAGACACGGUCCAGACUCCCACGGGAGGCAGCAGUAGGGAAUCUUCCGCAAUGGGCGAAAGCCUGACGGAGCAACGCCGCGUGAGUGAUGAAGGUCUUCGGAUCGUAAAACUCUGUUAUUAGGGAAGAACAAAUGUGUAAGUAACUGUGCACGUCUUGACGGUACCUAAUCAGAAAGCCACGGCUAACUACGUG
rnacentral:rRNA from 1 species